AGAGUUUGAUCCUGGCUCAGAAUCAACGCUGGCGGCGUGCCUAACACAUGCAAGUCGAACGAGAAAGUGGAGCAAUCCAUGAGUAAAGUGGCGCACGGGUGAGUAACACGUGACUAACCUACCCUUGAGUGGGGGAUAACCUCGGGAAACCUUGGCUAAUACCGCAUAACACCUACGGGUCAAAGGAGCAAUUCGCUUAAGGAGGGGGUCGCGGCAGAUUAGUUAGUUGGCGGGGUAAUGGCCCACCAAGACAGUGAUCUGUAUCCGGCCUGAGAGGGCGCACGGACACACUGGAACUGAAACACGGUCCAGACUCCUACGGGAGGCAGCAGUGGGGAAUUUUGCGCAAUGGGGGAAACCCUGACGCAGCAACGCCGCGUGGAGGAUGAAGUCCCUUGGGACGUAAACUCCUUUCGACCGGGACGAUUAUGACGGUACCGGAAGAAGAAGCCCCGGCUAACUUCGUGCCAGCAGCCGCGGUAAUACGAGGGGGGCGAGCGUUGUUCGGAAUUAUUGGGCGUAAAGGGUGCGUAGGCGGUUCGGUAAGUUUCGUGUGAAAUCUUCGGGCUCAACUCGAAGCCUGCACGAAAUACUGCCGGGCUUGAGUGUGGGAGAGGUGAGUGGAAUUUCCGGUGUAGCGGUGAAAUGCGUAGAUAUCGGAAGGAACACCUGUGGCGAAAGCGGCUCACUGGACCACAACUGACGCUGAUGCACGAAAGCUAGGGGAGCAAACAGGAUUAGAUACCCCAGUAGUCC
rnacentral:rRNA from 1 species